GUCCCAAUGUCUCCACACCCAGCCCCUGAGCCCAUCUUAGCAGGUCCUGAACAAAGAUGAGGUUACAGCCUAGAGGUACCAGGGCUUCAUCUGGGGCAUGGCCAGCACAGGGACAGCAGCUGAAUAUCCUUGGGAUAAUAAUGACAAUUAUAUUGCUCACAUUUAUUGAGCAGGUCUCUAUGCUACUUCUAUGCCGAAUACUUUUUAUAGCAGCAUCUCAUUUAAUCACCACAAUAACCUGACGAGACAGGAAGUAUUAUUACCCCAUUUUUCUUUUUCUUUCUUUCUUUUUCUAUUUUUAUUUUUUUUUAUUUUUGAGAUGGAGUCUCGCUCUGUCACNNNNNNNNNNAGUGCAGUGGGGCAAUCUUUGGCUCACUGCAACCUCCACCUCCCAGGUUCAAGCAAUUCUCCCACUUCAGCCUCCAGAGUAACUGGGAGUACAGGCAUGCGUCACCACGCCUAGCUAAUUUUUGUAUUUUUAGUAGAGACGGGGUUUCACCAUGUUGGCCAGGCUGGUCUGAACUCCUGACCUCAAGUGAUUCGUCAGCCUCGGCCUCCCAUCAACAGUCAGGGAAAAGAAACCUAUGGAAUAGUUCCCAUUUCACAGAGGAAGAAACUGAGGGCCAGAGCUAGGGGUCUCUGACACAGCCAUGGGAUCCUCCACCCCACACUGGCUCUAUGUGACUCUGUAGUAGUGGCUAAUGUCCAUCAGUCGCCUCCUAUAGAGAGAAUUCUGACUUUCAACACUGCUGAGCCAUGGCAUGGGCUGCUUCUGGGUAGUGAGCUCCCUGUCCUUGGGGUAGACACAGCCAUCCCUUGGGUCCUUCCUCCAGACCUUCCAGGUACAGCCCUUUGCUGCUCUUCCCUGCCUCCAAACCU
rnacentral:lncRNA from 1 species